rnacentral:rRNA from 1 species
UGAGGAACAUGACCUUCGGCGGGGGAUAGCCGGCCCAACGGCCGGGUAAUACCGCGUACGACCACAUGGGGACAUCCCUGAGUGGUGAAAGCAGCAAUGCGCCGAUGGAGUGCCUCGCGGCCUAUCAGCUAGUUGGUGAGGUAACGGCUCACCAAGGCAACGACGGGUAGCUGGUCUGAGAGGAUGGCCAGCCACAUUGGGACUGAGACACGGCCAGACUNUACGGGAGG